rnacentral:rRNA from 1 species
GUAAUACGGAGGAUGCAAGCGUUAUCCGGAAUUAUUGGGCGUAAAGCGUCCGUAGGCGGUUUUUCAAGUCUGCUGUUAAAGCGUGCAGCUUAACUGCAUAUCGGCAGUGGAAACUGAGAGAC